rnacentral:rRNA from 1 species
UGGGGAAUAUUGCACAAUGGGCGAAAGCCUGAUGCAGCAACGCCGCGUGAGUGGUGACGGCCUUCGGGUUGUAAAACUCUGUCUUCAGGGACGAUAAUGACGGUACCUGAGGAGGAAGCCACGGCUAACUACGUAUCAUCG